rnacentral:rRNA from 1 species
GUCGUAACAAGGUUUCCGUAGGUGAACCUGCGGAAGGAUCAUUACCUAGAGUUUGUAGACUUCGGUCUGCUACCUCUUACCCAUGUCUUUUGAGUACCUUCGUUUCCUCGGCGGGUCCGCCCGCCGAUUGGACAACAUUCAAACCCUUUGCAGUUGCAAUCAGCGUCUGAAAAAACAUAAUAGUUACAACUUUCAACAACGGAUCUCUUGGUUCUGGCAUCGAUGAAGAACGCAGCGAAAUGCGAUAAGUAGUGUGAAUUGCAGAAUUCAGUGAAUCAUCGAAUCUUUGAACGCACAUUGCGCCCCUUGGUAUUCCAUGGGGCAUGCCUGUUCGAGCGUCAUUUGUACCUUCAAGCUCUGCUUGGUGUUGGGUGUUUGUCUCGCCUCUGCGUGUAGACUCGCCUUAAAACAAUUGGCAGCCGGCGUAUUGAUUUCGGAGCGCAGUACAUCUCGCGCUUUGCACUCAUGACGACGACGUCCAAAAGUACAUUUUUACACUCUUGACCUCGGAUCAGGUAGGGAUACCCGCUGAACUUAAGCAUAUCA